AAUUCCAUAUUUUUGCACAUUUCAAAGUAAUCACCACAAGUCUUGUUACCUUACUAAGAUAUUAUUACAUAGCUAUUGAAUAUAUUUCCCACACUGAACAUUUCCAAGCUGUGACUCAUUUAUUUUGCAGCUGGAAGUUUGUACCUCUUAAUCUCCCCCACUUGUUUCUUUCCUUUCCCCAUCCCCUCCCUUCUGGCAACCGUGUUUCUUUUCUGUAUCCAUAACUCUGUUUCUGUUUUGUUUGUUCAUUCGUUUUCUUUGUCAGAUUCCACAAAAAUGUGAGAUCUUACAGUUCUUGUCUUUUUCUAUCAAACUUAUUUCACUAAGCAUAAUAUUCCAGGAUCGUCCAUGCUGUCAGAAAUGGAAAGAACCAGUAUCUGGAUUAUUUCCAGGCCAUCCAGACAGCUAUUUCAAUUGGAACAAGUGACCUUUGGAACAGACUAGAACAUAGCAGACUGGCCAGACAGAGGGGAGGGAGUAGUCAACUGGGAAGGGCCCCAGCAUGUUCCUAAGAAAUGUCAUUUGAAGUAAGAGGACAGUAAAAAGCUAAGGACAAAUAAAUGAACUUAAAAAUA